rnacentral:rRNA from 1 species
CACGUAGGGUGCGAGCGUUGUCCGGAAUUAUUGGGCGUAAAGAGCUCGUAGGCGGUGUGUCGCGUCGGCCGUGAAAACCUGCAGCUUAACUGUGGGCUUGCGGUCGAUACGGGCAUCACUGGAGUUCGGCAGGGGAGACUGGAAUUCCUGGUGUAGCGGUGAAAUGCGCAGAUAUCAGGAGGAACACCGGUGGCGAAGGCGGCUCACUGGACCGGAACUGACGCUGAGGCGCAAAAGCGUGGGGAGCAAACAGG